UCAACGGAGCUGCUCUUCAGAAAUCUGUACCUUUGGAAGAACACUGGGACAAAGAACAUUCGAAUGCUACCUGAGGCUGCAGAGAAGGAAACAGAAACCAGUGGUCAAAUAAAAAAAAAAUAAAAAAUAAAAAAAAUAAAAAAUAAGGCUGGAAGCUCCACUAUGAAGUUACUUGGACAGGAGUUGGACUUGCUAAAAAAUGGAAAAUGUGAACACAUCACACAUCUGGAGCAAGUGUUUGAGACCCCUAAGUGAAUGUACCUUGUGAUGGGGCUCUGUGAACAGGGAGAAUUUGAAGAAAUUCUGAAUAGGAGAGGGCACAUCCAGAGAAUGAGUCAAGGUAGGUCAUCCUAAGCCUCACAUCUGCUGUAGCGUGUCUUCACAAUAAAGUACAUAGAAAUCUGAAACUGGAGAGCAUAAUGGUUCAAAGCAGCUUUAUUGAUGCUAACAACAAACUGAACUUCAACAUAAAGGUAAUUUUGGCUUAGCAGGGAGGAAGCCAUGCUGCGCACCACAUGUGGGGCUCCCGUCUGCAUGACCCCUGAAGUUAUCAAUGCCCAUAGCUAUAGCCAGCAAUGUGACACUGGGGCCAUCAGGUCACAAGGACAUAUCGUUAUGUGGGAACCCCCUUUAUGGCAAGUUCAGAAGAGACAUUUUUGAAUUAACAGAAAGAGAGAGCUACAUUUUGAAGAUCCACUUUGGGAUUCUAUAAGUGAUUGCACUAAAAGCAUUUUGAAACGACUUAUCAAAGUGGAUCCUGCUCCCAGAAUCACAGCUAAGGAACUGCUCGAUGCCCAACGGCCAGCAGGCCAUACACUUCCUUUGGCGAGAUCAACCAAUGUGAUAGAAAUGAUUUAAGAAUGGAAAGACAACCCAGGAACCGAUGAGGAAAACACAGCAGGUCGAAAAAAGAGCAACUGCUUCAUUCAAAGAUAGUUGAGAAGCUACCAACCCGAGGAAAUGCCACUGAUGUCCUAACACUUCAAUUGAAGAAGAGGAAAACCAGCCCUUUUGUGAAAAGAUAUCAUCUGUGUCCAGUAAGAAGGCAAAUAUGGACAGAAGGCAAAUAUGGACAAGCAAAUAAGGGCCACAUGUAGCAACCACUUUCUGUUGGGCUCAGUGGAGACAUAGAGAAACCCCCUGUGACUUCAAGACAGAGAAUAACAACCAAAUGCACUACUAAAUCAACUGCAAUGCCCUGUGUAGAACCAAAUAAGG
rnacentral:lncRNA from 1 species